rnacentral:rRNA from 1 species
UACGUAGGGUGCAAACGUUGUUCGGAAUCACUGGGCAUAAAGAGCGCGUAGGCGGUCUGACAAGUCCCCUGUGAAAGCCCCGGGCUCAACCUGGGAACCGCGCUUGAGACUGGCAUGCUCGAGUUCGGGAGAGGAUGGUGGAAUUCCCAGUGUAGAGGUGAAAUUCGUAGAUAUUGGGAAGAACACCGAUGGCGAAGGCAGCCAUCUGGACCGACACUGACGCUGAGGCGCGAAAGCGUGGGGAGCAAACAGGG